rnacentral:rRNA from 1 species
CUCCUUUGACGUUAGCGGCGGACGGGUGAGUAACACGUGGGUAACCUACCUAUAAGACUGGGAUAACUUCGGGAAACCGGAGCUAAUACCGGAUAAUAUUUCGAACCGCAUGGUUUCGAUAGUGAAAGGUGGUUUUGCUAUCACUUAUAGAUGGACCCGCGCCGUAUUAGCUAGUUGGUAAGGUAACGGCUUACCAAGGCGACGAUACGUAGCCGACCUGAGAGGGUGAUCGGCCACACUGGAACUGAGACACGGUCCAGACUCCUACGGGAGGCAGCAGGGG